rnacentral:lncRNA from 1 species
GCGGAGCCCAGCCCCAGACGCAGGUUCAUCUACAGAGAUGGGGACCUGGGGGUUUGAGGCAGAAGAGCUCCCGAAACUGCAGGGAGCAGAAGAGCCAGAAGAUAUUUCGAGUAGUUUUGAAGGGGGGCUCUAAAGGUCCCUAAGAAGGUGGACAGAAAGGGAGGACGAGAGGCCACAGGAAACUAACUCGGAGGGACGCAAAAAGAAACAAUGACAGAGAAGAGGUCCCU